GACGAACGCUGGCGGCAGGCCUAACACAUGCAAGUCGAGCGGACCUUUCGGGGUCAGCGGCGGACGGGUGAGUAACGCGUGGGAAUAUGCCCUUCUCUACGGAAUAGUCCUGGGAAACUGGGGGUAAUACCGUAUACGCCCUUUGGGGGAAAGAUUUAUCGGGGAAGGAUUAGCCCGCGUUGGAUUAGGUAGUUGGUGGGGUAAUGGCCUACCAAGCCGACGAUCCAUAGCUGGUUUGAGAGGAUGAUCAGCCACACUGGGACUGAGACACGGCCCAGAAUCCUACGGGAGGCAGCAGUGGGGAAUCUUAGACAAUGGGGGCAACCCUGAUCGAGCCAUGCCGCGUGAGUGAUGAAGGCCUUAGGGUUGUAAAGCUCUUUCAGCUGGGAAGAUAAUGACGGUACCAGCAGAAGAAGCCCCGGCUAACUCCGUG
rnacentral:rRNA from 1 species